UACGUAGGGACCAAGCGUUGUUCGGAAUUACUGGGCGUAAAGCGCACGCAGGUGGCUGAGUCAGUCGAUUGUGAAAGCCCUGGGCUUAACCUGGGAAUUGCAGUCGAUACUACUCAGCUAGAGUAUGGGAGAGGGCAGUGGAAUUCCCGGUGUAGCGGUGAAAUGCGUAGAUAUCGGGAGGAACAUCAGUGGCGAAGGCGGCUGCCUGGCCCAAUACUGACACUCAGGUGCGACAGCGUGGGGAGCAAACAGG
rnacentral:rRNA from 1 species